AGCAGCCGCGGUAAUUCCAGCUCCAAUAGCGUAUAUUAAAGUUGUUGCAGUUAAAAAGCUCGUAGUUGAAUUUCGGGAUCAGCGCGUCGGUCGUGCCUCCGGUAUGCACUGGCGCCGCUGGUUUCUCCCUUCUGAGGAACCGUGAUGUCAUUAAUUUGGUGUUGCGGGAAAUCAGGACUGUUACUUUGAAAAAUUAGAGUGUUUAAAGCGGGCACGCGCUUGAAUACAUUAGCAUGGAAUAACGAAAUAGGACGUUCGAUCUUAUUUUGUUGGUUUCUAGGAUUGACGUAAUGAUUAAUAGGGAUAGUUGGGGGCAUUAGUAUUCAAUUGUCAGAGGUGAAAUUCUUGGAUUUAUUGAAGACUAACUACUGCGAAAGCAUUUGCCAAGGAUGUUUUCAUUAAUCAAGAACGAAAGUUAGGGGAUCGAAGACGAUCAGAUACCGUCGUAGUCUUAACCAUAAACUAUGCCGACUAGGGAUCGGAUGAUGUUAAUUUUUAAUGUACUCAUUCGGCGCCUUAA
rnacentral:rRNA from 1 species